AUCUCGGAGUGUGCGCGCGCAAGGCAGUGUGACCCUGUGACGAGUGGCUGACUUCGAUGUGUGUGUACACGUUUCACUCUAGGUUCUAGAUUUCGUAAACACAAAACAAUGAAUUGAAUGAUUUUUGUGACAGAUAUUCGGAUUCAGUAUCACAGUGAGACUUUAUAAAACGAGAAUCUAAUUCCAUUGUUUUAAGUGUUAAUUAUUUCAUGUCACGAGAGAGGGUGUUGUAUUGGCGUGAAGCUUAACCGUUACGGAGUGAAGUGUUCAAGUGUUUUCAUUACUGAAAUCUGUGCUCGUUAUUUGAGUGAUUUCAUUGUUUUAAGCAAAGAAUGUGUUACUCUUAAUACAAUUUGUGAAAAAUAUAUUCCUACAAAUAAUACCACACCCCUUUUUAAUGUUCAAUAUAGUAUUAAAAUCACCUUAUAUGGAUAUUUACGUAAAUAAUAAAGAGUGACAAUCCACUCUGAAUAUUUAAACUAAUGAUAUGAGGCCGAUAUGAGUUUUAUUCUUGCUAUAUAUUGUGGGAUUUUGAAAAGAAAACAAUUUACAGCCCUUAUAUUAUUUUGAGGGCCACCGAAGCCUUCAAUUACGUUAAUAUAAUGAGUGGUCGGUCUGUAAACAGCAGUAGCAUUGCAGUGACGACGAGAACAGAAGGCAGUGUCCGACAACAGAGUAGCUGUGCGGUGCCGAACGGAGUUAAAUUCGCUGGCGAAGAGUCCAAAGAUAAAAUGUACGAGCCCAAACACACAAAGAAACUUGUCAGAGUCCUCACUGUGGUUGCCUACGUGUUUUCUGUCUCACUAGCAGCCAUUAUGUUGUCUGUAUAUUACGUAUUUUUGUGGAAUCCAAAGGAUAUCCAUCACCGAGCUGUACACAUCACUACUCCAAAUCCAAAUUCAUCUCCUGGCUCUAGCUGUCCUCAGAUCAUCGCAGCUUCCAUUCAGGAACAAAUAAAUAGUCAAGAUGUUUCAAUAAAAGCUGAGAAUCCGGUACCUCAUUUGCAGCCAUCUUCAACGUCAACUACACCAAACCAGCAAGUGACCACAAACUCUACACUGGACCACCUUCUUGACACCUAACAAGGGUUUGAAAAUGUCAACACAUCGUGACAUAACAAAAUAUUCAAGAAAACUGCAGAGAAUGAAGAUUGUUGAUACUGAUUACACCAUCACAGGUUACUUUAUGUAAAGCAGAUGAAACUUACGAGGAAAAAAAAACAGUUUAUUUAUCGGUAGAUUAUAGUCACUUUCUCUAUGGCAAGAUAUAUUAUAUAUUAUAAUGACAAGAUCCAGCCAUCAGUCUGUUUUCGAACAUUUCUUUAAAUUUAACAGAGUGUUGUGUCAUCUCUUUUUAAAAUGGUAUAUGUGAUACAUUAAAAAUGAUACUCUACUGUAUAAAUAUAAUUUAACUCCCAAAUACAUUUGACAUUUAUUCAUUAUGUAUCGUAUUAUAAUGUAACAAAAAAUCUAUGAUAAUUUCCUUCUCUUUAACAUUUAAAUUAUAGCUUCCAUUUAACAAAUUUCAUAGAUGAUACAACCUAAAUAAAUGUAAUUUAUUGUAUGAUGCCAUGAUUCAAGAUUUUAUAUGCUGUAUAGAAAUAUUUGUUGUAGAACGUUUCAUAAGAUAAACGUUUUAUAGUAAUUAGGGAUACAGUUUAUAAUUGUAAACUUCAAGUGAACUCCAGUAAACUUUACAGUAAAUAUCAGUGGGAACAAAAUACAAGCUAGACACAUGAGUCUUAUCUCUGAGGUUAUCAUUAAUUAACUUUACACUGGCUAAGGCUAAUAAUUAAGGCUUAACCAGUCUUUCUCUCUUCAUGCCAUGUUCCUUUCUUAUUACUGUUAACUCCCCCCACCUCAUGUUUCUCCUGCUGAUAAAAAAAUCAGUAGUCAUGAUGUAAGGAUGCUAAAUACUUUGGUCAUUGACUCUAAUUGAGAUUAUGGUUACAACAUUUCAGAUCCUACCUCUGUAUUGAUCCUCUAGUAAAAAACAAGGUAGGACAGGGAAUACCUACUCAGCUUGCCCUUAUCACUAUAAACACUAAAAUGGCAUUCAGAAUAUGAAAGAGCAAUUUUAAGGUUAUGUAAAUGUCUGCAGCGCAAUCUUGUCAUUUGAAUGUGUUAUUGUUAUGCAGUACAUUGCUGAAACAACUUUCUUUCCUAAUAAGUUGAUUGUUUCAUGUAAGGUAACAGUAUUAUGCAAACAUUUAACACUAUAUUAUAUGACAAUUCUUCAGUAGGUAUGUAUUGUUUAUACUAAUAACUAACUAGAUGGCUUACCGAACCCAAAGGUUCAUCACCGACUUAACCAAAGCCCUCCACCGGAACCCUGUCCUGGGCCAACAAAAUCCAGUCUCCUUCAACUCCUAUCUCCCAUAGAUCCCGCCUGACAUUAUCCUCCCAUCUACGUCUAGGUCUCCCCAGCAGUCUCUUCCCCUCAGGCUUGCCAACCAAUAAGUUUAUACUAAUACAUUUCAGAAUUGUUUUUACUUAAAAUUUGCACAAACCUGUGAAUGUUAGUAUUAUUGACAAUGAUUUUUCUUAAUUUAUUACUUCAGAAUAUGAAUACAUGACACACCUUCUUCAUAUGGCCUUACAGUGACCAGCCAAAAAUAGGAGUUAAAAAACUGUGAAAAGAUAAUUAUGAGUGAAAGUAUCAUAGUUCCAUUUUUUUUAUUUUCAUAUACAUUGACCAUGAGGAGAGAAAAAUUAUGUAUAUUAUUCUGUUUGGGUAUUUCUGUGGAAUCACACUAUGAAAAGUUACAUUUCAACAAGAUAAAACGUCACCUUUGAGAUUACUUCUGAUGCUCUAAUGAAAUGAACAUCCUAAUUAAAAAGUAUUUAUAAAAAUAUAGUUUUUUAAUAUUGUUCUAAUAGCUAUGCUGUGUAUAUUACAGUAUUGUACACCUGUGUAUUUUUUUCUUGAUAUAAUUUUCCAAUAAAACAGAAAAAUCAAUCUGA